rnacentral:rRNA from 1 species
UACGUAGGGGUCGAGCGUUGUCCGGACUUACUGGGCGUAAAGCGUGGUAGGUGGCUGGUGAUGUGCCGUGUGAAAGCGCCGCGCUUCUCGCGGCGAGGUCGCGGUAGACACACCAGCUAGAGGCACGGAGAGGGCGUAGAAUUCCCGGUGUAGUGGUGAAAUGCGUAGAGAUCGGGAGGAACACCUGUGGCGAAGGCGGCCGACUGGGCCGACCCUGACGCUGAGGCGCGAAGGCGUGGGAGCGAACGGG